UACGUAGGGUGCAAGCGUUGUCCGGAAUUAUUGGGCGUAAAGAGCUCGUAGGCGGUCUGUCGCGUCUGCUGUGAAAACUCAGGGCUUAACCCUGGACCUGCAGUGGGUACGGGCAGACUAGAGUGCGGUAGGGGAGAUCGGAAUUCCUGGUGUAGCGGUGAAAUGCGCAGAUAUCAGGAGGAACACCGGUGGCGAAGGCGGAUCUCUGGGCCGUAACUGACGCUGAGGAGCGAAAGCAUGGGGAGCGAACAGG
rnacentral:rRNA from 1 species